GCACUGCUGAGGAGUCCCACAACAGGGCGGAACUGCCGUCCAGUGC
rnacentral:hammerhead_ribozyme from 1 species